rnacentral:rRNA from 1 species
AUACGGAGGGGGCAAGCGUUGUUCGGAAUUACUGGGCGUAAAGGGCGCGUAGGCGGGACGUCAAGUCAGGGGUGAAAGCCCUGGGCUCAACCUGGGAAUGGCAUUCGAAACUGCAGAGCUAGAGUAUGGUAGAGGGAAGUGGAAUUUCCGGUGUAGCGGUGAAAUGCGUAGAUAUCGGAAGGAACACCAGUGGCGAAGGCGACUUCCUGGGCCAAUACUGACGCUGAGGCACGAAAGCGAGGGGAGCAAACAGGAUUAGAUACCCUAGUAGUCC